rnacentral:rRNA from 1 species
GACGAACGCUGGCGGCGUGCCUAAUACAUGCAAGUAGAACGCACAGUUUAUACCGUAGCUUGCUACACCAUAGACUGUGAGUUGCGAACGGGUGAGUAACGCGUAGGUAACCUGCCUGGUAGCGGGGGAUAACUAUUGGAAACGAUAGCUAAUACCGCAUAAUAUUAAUUAUUGCAUGAUAAUUAAUUGAAAGGUGCAAUUGCACCACUACCAGAUGGACCUGCGUUGUAUUAGCUAGUAGGUGAGGUAACGGCUCACCUAGGCGACGAUACAUAGCCGACCUGAGAGGGUGGUCGGCCACACUGGGACCUAGACACGGCCCAGACUCCUACGGGGAGCAGCAGUAGGGAAUCUUCGGCAAUGGACGAAAGUCUGACCGAGCAACGCCGCGUGAGUGAAGAAGGUUUUCGGAUCGUAAAGCUCUGUUGUAAGAGAAGAACGGGUGUGAGAGUGGAAAGUUCACACUGUGACGGUAUCUUACCAGAAAGGGACGGCUAACUACGUG